ACGUGGAUUGUACUGGAGGCUGGAGUAGAUGGGUGUUCGUUGGUACUGGGAGGUGCUCUGGCGGUAGCGUUGGGGUACUAGUACUAGUGCGACAGUCUCUUGGAUUUGUUGAAGGCGUCACGACGGUGGUAUUUGUGAUACGGGAGAUUCGCUUGGAUUGAGUUAGGAUAACGUCUAUUUAGAUGCAUAAUUACUUUUCCUCUUGCAGGCGAUCUUGAUUGAGUUGUUUGUUGCUGUGACGAUGCUGUUUGGUGAGUGUUUUUGGUUCCAAUUGUGAAAGUUUACUCCAGUCGUGUACCAACGUAUCCGUGACGAUCUUCCUUGGGCUUAUUUCAUCGUUGUGGCUCGUCGUUCUAGCUCGUUGUGGCUGUUUCUUGCUGUUGCUUACUGCCGGAAUGGCCAUGUGAGAGGCUGGUGGUUGGUCGAUUGCUUUGACUUGAAGGGGGUGAAAUAUUGCUAGUGACUUGCUGUUCUGGCUCUGUGCGUUGCUACUCCUUCCAUUGCUUGCGUUGACAGUGGUAACGCCUUUCUGGGAUGCAUGGAUCUGGUUCCCUUCCUGAUGGCAGUAGUCGUGGUCACCUCAACUAGAUGGUGAGUUUCCAGUGUUCAGCCGAAUAAGGAAAAAAUUUAUUUGAAUAUGAAUACGAAUAAAAUGAAAAUUGAAUCGAAUAAAGAAUAAGAAUAAAGAAUAA
rnacentral:lncRNA from 1 species